rnacentral:rRNA from 11 species
UACAAGGGUGUCAGGGCCUAUAGGCAUCAGAUUCUGUCUGAUCUCAGGUGUUAAGCAGGGUCAGCCCUGGUCAGUACUUGAAUGGGAUACCACCAAUGAAUAUCAGGUGCUGUGGUCU